UGCGCAGGCGGACCCAUCAGUCAGUGGUGAAAUCUCUCGGCUCAACCGGGAAACUGCCAUUGAUACUGUAGGUCUUGAGUUUGGUUGAAGUGGGCGGAAUGUAGCAUGUAGCGGUGAAAUGCAUAGAUAUGCUACAGAACACCGAUCGCGAAGGCAGCUCGCUAAACCAAAACUGACGCUCAGGCACGAAAGCGUGGGUAGCGAACAGGAUUAGAUACCCUGGUAGUCC
rnacentral:rRNA from 1 species